rnacentral:lncRNA from 1 species
CUUCGGUAGAUAGGAACUAGUUAUGUCAAAGUAGAGGUAAUUUAGAUCCCUUCAAACUGGAACUAGAUUGGCUAAAUUAUUUCUUGCUGUUUUACUUUAUGCAGCCCCAGGCUUAACCCUGCAUUAUUGUCUAAAAUAAUUUGCCACCUGUUAAUCUAGUAUUAUAUAAGCUUAUAUAGUUUAUUUAUUUAGUCUGGGAUAGUCAAAUAACGCCAAGUACCCUUAGCUACACUUUGGGCAACUCUUAUUGCAAGUAGUAUCUCUUUUAAGAGUUGACAACAAUUGCACUCGAAAUUAACUUAAUGAAGUGACAACUUCCAUGCCAGGUUAUGAACAAUUCAGAGAGACAAAAAAAAAAAACAUUUAAAAUGUAUUGUCAAACAAAAACAGAGCAAUACAUCAUUAAAGUAAUAAAAGGUCAAUUUUCAUAUUUUCACAUUUUUAUUUCUAUGAAAUAACUGAGUGUUUGGCAUACUGUACCCAAUUCCCUAAGGGUUACCCCCAUUUAAUUUCCUAGAACUAGUUUGAGCACUCUCUCUUUACCUGUUAAAAGAUGGCACAAAAAGAGGGAGAUCUGAUGUGAGAGGGAAUGGGAUCAAGGGAACAAGUCAUGGGACAAGAGGAAAGGAGAAGUGCAAACACCUUAUAUUCAGUAUCUGGUAUAAAGGUCUGAAGUUCUUAAUCCUAAUUAGGUUGAAAUAUUUUCCUUGGAGAAUUAUGAAGGUGGAGAAUAAAUCUUGUCAUUAAAAUAGCAAGCAAAGUUAUCAGCUGUAAUGUUAGCAUGGGGGGAGCAACAGCAAGGAGAAGUAAAGCGUUGAAGGAAUUAAAUGGACACUUGGAAUUGUGCAAGUAUGUACUAAUGACAUAGGAAACGCAUGAUUGUUUAGGUUUAAAACUUCCUCCAACAGCGUUCAGCUGACUUGUAGCAUCUUAGUAGUUAAUGGGUAGACAGACAGGAUUAUGAUUAUUCACUAAAAUUCGAAUGGCCCCCAUAAUGAUUGUGAAACCAUCUGGCUCAGCAGAGGGCCAUUUGAAUUGAAAAAUACAGACUUUGUUCAUGCUACUUAACAUAGUCCAUAUUUUGCAUAUCAGGUUCUGACUAAGCCUUUUUAAUUAGGUUUAAAUUUCAGUCGGACCAAACACUGCCGGACAUCUAAAAUCAGAACACUAUUAAGUAGGUUUUUAAAAAUCCUGUGCCCCUACCUGCCAUGUGGCACAUAGGGGAUAGCUGCAAACUUUACAAACUAGCAACUGGGCAGCUUUAAAAUAAAAAACUUUUGAUAAAGCCAGCUAUUCGGCGAAACAUGUUAAGUGCAUUUUAUACUAUUUUAUGCAAGUAUAUUUUACUUUUACAGUUUAGCUUUUUAUUUUUAUCAUUAAAAGUAUUUUUUAUGGGACCAUACUAAUCACUGCUGGAUUUUAUGGACAAUUAGAUCCUUGAUGGGUACAAAAAAACUACACCCAUUGGAUUGAGCAAUCCUCACUUGCUCCACAGAAUGGGAGAAUGGUUUUAUUCUACAGCUUAUAUUUUAGUUCUACAGUUACACACUAUUGUGUUUCUUUUGUUUUUUUUUCCUUCUAUAUCUACACACGGAGAGGCACGAGCACCUAUUAUAUCCUAGAGUGGGGAUCAUACCACUGCAAGCCAUAUCUGGGGAGCCAACAUUCUGGCUCCAUAUUACGUAAGUGCACAUCGUUGAUAUUGUUAUUCUCUCCUUUUUGGUUUGACAUACUACACCAUAUUGUCUCUGUUCUCCUUCUACAUAUCUAUGAAGAUAUCAUUGUAAAGAGAAAGACCACCCGCAGACCCGUGGACCACAGCAUAUCCCUAGGUGGGGAUUAUUCUGCCCAAGCGCUAAAGGUUGAAGCUACACCCAGGCUCCUAAAAAGUGUGAGUGGGCUAUCCCUUUUAAUCUUUUUAUCACUGUAUUUGACAUACUACACCAACAAUUUCUUUCUUUUAUUUUACAUAUUUGCAAGGACAUAGUAGUCGCUACACCACCCUUCUGUUUCUCCUCCUUCUGCACUAGACUAGAGAUGCUCUGGAUUUGGUGACUAAGCUGCCCUUGAACUAUACCAGUAUUUUACAAGCCCUGAAUCACCUAAAAUGAUUCCCCUGAGCGACCCGUAGUGAUGCCAGGAGCUGGAAUAUGACGUCAGUCCGGCUCCCGGCAUCAGUCUGCGGUGCACGAGGGAGCUGAGCAUAGAGAUCACCGCUAUCUCGCUGACAACUUAGAGCGCCUGCACGUCCGGCCGCCUUCCUGCCCAGCAACCCGGUCAGCAGCCCCACUGGACCCCAGGUGAAAAAUUCACCCAGCUAUCCCAAAAGUAGGGAGGCUGGGUGGAUUUAAAUUAAAAAAAAAUAAUAAUAAUUGUGAGUGCUGGGGGAAAAUGUGUCAGUAAAUGUGAGGAAGUGAGUGAGUGUGUGUGUCAGUGAAUGUGAGUGAGUGCAUGCAUCUGUCAGUGAGGAUUGCAUGCAUCUGUCAGUGAGUGUCUAAAUGUAUGUGUGUCAUAUUGUGUCAAAUCAGUGUGUGUGUGUGUAUGCCAGUGUAUCUGAAAGCAGGGCCGCCAUCAGGGCAUGACAACCGCAACGGUUGUCAUGGGCCCGGCGGUCCUGGCGGGCCCGGGCUGCUAAGGUCGUCCGGGCCCCACAUUCAGUUGGUACAUACCGGGUCGCAGGGGGCCCUGUGACCCCGGUAUGUACCCACUGGGCCAGCCUCUUCUCCUGGGGGGCCCAGCAGCCGGUCACCUCAGGGCCCCCCAGAGGCUGGCCCUGCUGACAACCGGCGGGUGGGCGGGCGCGUGAGGGAGCACUCUCUGAGGCUGGCCCUGCAUCAGUAUGGUGCGCGAGGGAGCUGAAGAGGAAGCACACAGAGGAAAGUGCUCCCUCGCGCGCCCGCCCGCCGGGGUCAGGGGGAAAUUUGAGUGAGUGGGAGGAGGGAGGAAAUUUGAGUGAGUGGGGGGGGAGAGGGAGGGAGGGAGGAAAUUUGGGGAGGAGGGGGGAGAGGGAGGGAAGGGAUUUGAGAGAGGGGAGAGGAAGGGAGGAAAUAUCGGGGGGGAGAGGGAGAGGAAGGGAGGAAAUUUGGAGGGAGGGAGAGAGGAAGGAAAUUUGGGAGGGGGGGAGAGGAAGGAGGAAAUUUGACUGAGGGAGAGGGAGGGAGGAGGAAGGGAGGAAAUGAGGAGGGAGGGGGGGAGAGGAAGGGAGGAAAUUUGAGGGAGGGGAGAGGAAGGAGGAAAUUUGAGGGGGGAGAGGAAGGAAAUUUGAGGGAGGGGAGGGAGAGGAAGGAAAUUUGAGGGAGGGGGGAGAGGAAGGAAAUUUGAGGGAGGAGGGGAGAGGAAGGAAAUGAGAGGGAGGGGGAGAGGAAGGAAAUGAGAGGGAGGGGGAGAAGAAGGAAAUGAGAGGGAGGGGGAGAAGAAGGAAAUUGGAGGGGGGGAGAAGGCAAUGAGAGGGAGGGGGAGAAGAAGGAAAUUGGAGAGAGGGGGAGAAGAAGGAAAUUGAAGGGGGGGGGAGAAGGAAAUUGACAGGGGAGAGAUUGACAUCCAACACACACACACACAAUGCACACCUUGCACACAGAAAACACACAAUGCACACAGACACACAUACACAAGCAAUGCAUCCCUUACACACAGCAACACACAAUGCACCUCUUACACACACUCAGUGCAUCCCUUACAGACGCACACACUGCAUCCCAUACAUACACAAACUCACCUUGCAGCCCUUACACAUACAAACAUAGAUUCACACAAUGCAUUCCUUAAACACAUCAGGACAUCCCCCCCCCCACACACACACCCCUGUGAACAAACUCAUUGGUGGAACAUGAAGGUGGAGCCUGGGACCCAGACCUUGAGCUGUGUAAAGGGCCCUCAAAAAAAUGGAGCUGCUUCCCGUUCUCCCAGAACAUUGAUUUUUGUGACCACAGUUACAAACCGCCUCCAGAGAGCCUGUUCUACACCAGACCAGUGGAGCCAGACGGCAGCUAGAGCCCAUCAUCAUCCUCAUCUGGUUGUAUGUAGGCAAUCUAGUAUAUUAUUCGUGGCACUAAUCUCUAAUUUACCUCACAUUAAAGGGACACUAUAGUCCCCAGAACCACUGCAGCUUAAUGUAGUGGUUCUGGUGUCUAUAGCCUGUCCCUGCAGGCCUUUUAUUGUAAACACGGCGGCACUGCGGCACUGUGUUAGUUAACAUGGCAGAUCAUAUGGGUGGGGCAUUGUGAUGUCACAUGGGGGGCGGCAAACUUUACUUUUGCCUGGGGCGGCAAAAAUCCUUGCAGACACUGCAUCCCUGUGUGCCGACUCGGGGGGGGGGGGACUCGGUGCAGGCACUGGGGGGCCCAGACCUUGAGCUGUGUCAGGGGCCCCAAAAUUUCUGAUGGAAGCCCUGUCUGAAAGUGUGUGCUGGUCCGUGAGUGUGUGUCAGUCAAAAUGUGUGUAAGUGAACAGGAAGAGGUGUGGCAUUGGCAGGAAGAGCCAGGUACAUUUAAAUUAGAGGUUGACCGAGACCGGUCAUGCCUAGGGCAGCACCAUUUCAAAAUACACCACUGAUUUACUGGACACACACUCACUGACAGACAUACACAAACUCACUAAUUGACAGAUACACACAGUCACUCACAUUCACUAACACACACACAUAUUUUCCCCCAACACUCACAAUUAUUUUAAAAAAAUUUAAAUCCACCCAGCCUCCCUACUUUUGGGAGAGCUGGGUGGCUUUUUUACCUGAGGUCCAGUGGGGCUGCUGGGCAGGAAAGGCCCCUCGAGCGCCGCAGAGUGAUGCCGGGAGCCAGACUGACAUCAUAUUCCAGCUCCCAGCAUUACUGCAGGUUGCGCAUGGGGGCUGAGCAGGAAAGCUCAGGGGAAAGUGCUCCCUCGCCACCCAGGAAACAACUGGCCGCCUACCCCGGAUGGCCAGCACACAAAAUGAGGCAAACAAGGCAUCAGUCUGGGCAUUUGGGGGUGGCAUUUUUUGCUGCCCCCUUGCAACUGCUGCCCAAGGCAAAUGCCUUGUUUGCCUUACGGUAGAUAAAGCCCUGGCCCUGCCUAUCCCCUACUUAAUACAUAGGAUGAAAAGAGACAUGUGUCCAUCAAGUUCAUCUUUUCUCACAUGUGUUUUUGCUGUUAAUUCAAAAGAAGGCAAAACAACAGUUUGAUGCACUUUCUAAUUUUGCAACAAACUAGGAAAAAAAUAAUUCUUGACCCCAGAAUGGCAGUCAGAUCUCCCCUUGUAUCAAGAAACUGUUACCGCACAUGUAAAAGAUUACAUAAAAUAAAAACAAUACCGCACUCCAUAAGUUAUGCAAAAAAGUUAGUUUUCUUCAUAUAGCAUUCAUUCAAUGAUCAGGUCUGAAGGUAUAGAAACAAAUAUACAUGAGCAUGAAAACCCCUAUGUGACAAGACCAAUCUCGCCACAUUGCAUUGGAGAAGCCUGGUUGCUAGCCUGUUGCCUUUGGAUUAUGGCCCCAUGUUAAAAGGCUUGAUUUUCCCCUGCAAAGACAUGAAAACCGGGUCAUUUGGUGCUUUCCCUGUUUGAGCGGUGAUACCCCAGAUAGCUAUGCCAUGGAGCCCAUUAGUAUAAUGAAAGACUAUGGGAAAGACUUUGGCUCCAUGGCAAUUGAACUGUAUGUGUGUGCUCUGAGCGCCAUUCAGUAAUAAUGUGCGCUCAGAUCUGAGCUAUCUGGGGAUAUGUUGAAUGUACCUGUUUUGUGCAAUGGCUGCACAGUUAUGUGUUUUUAUGUGUUUUAUUGUCUUUUGCUGCCAUGUGUUCAAUGGAGUUUUGCCUCUGUCCUUGGAGAUAAUUGGAUUACUUCACAAUUAUCUCCAGGAUAGAAGACUCUGUGGAACUGGUUUUGGGCAGAAAAGCCAUGCUUCCUUUGGUCACAAAGGACUACGCUCUAUCUUUUGAACCACUGGACCAAUUUGUAUGAUUUUGACGUAUGUUUGUAUUUGGAGUAUGCUGAUUCUGAAAAUGUUUUAUGUGAAAAUUAUGUGAAUGUGAUGCAUACUUUUCAAGUUAUGAAUAAUGUGGAAAAAUUGUAUUUCUCUGCUUGUUAUAAUUACAUUACCCAUUGUGUAAGGUAAUUGAAUCACAGGCAGAUGGGAGGAUGUUGUGUGGGAGUGUCUGAGUGUAUUGUAUGUGUUUAUUGGUUGUGUUCCAAAACCCUGUGGGUGGUACUAAUGUGUAUAUAAGAACAAUAAACCCACAGCUCUGACUGUUCACUGCUUGACCCUCAACACGGAGCUUUGUCUCGUUCUUGGGGGGAUUUAUUGUGUGCUGUUCCAGUUUGACUGCUAGGAGUGUAAACCUAUUUGUAUGUUUUUUCCUAUUCGGCUGUUUACGGCAUUCAUAUGGUUUCCUGUUCGGCGGAUUGGUGUUCUGCAGUAGCUGUGCCUGUGUCUCUGGAAGGGAAGAUCUACUAAAUGGCGGUUUAACCCUUUUAUGCCUGGGGGUGCUGUUACACCCUAUGCAUAGAGUAUAUAUAUUUAUAUUUGGCCUGAAUUUGUGGGAGGAGUUAUGAUCCUAUAUAAACCCUACCCCCCUACUUACCUUUGUCGUGCAAGCUGUUUGUCGUCUCCAUAGUUACCUGCACUUCCGGUUCGUCGUUCCCGCCAAGUCCUGUCUCAAGCUGUCUCCAGCAAGCAGUCCGUCGCCAGCAGCUCCUGCCUACGUCUUCCGUGCCCGUCCACCGGCUUCUACCCGACAUCCG